AUGACCUGCUGGAAUUCUUGGUUGAUGCUCUUAAAAUGCCACUUGAAGCAAAGAAAGUGGUUGCUAAUGUCUAUGUUGCAAUGCGUUACUGGCACCCAUUUACUGAGGAAGUUGUUCAGUAGUCAACAAGAUAGGGAGAGAGGUUAAGGCUUGAUAAGGAGGAGAUAGAAAAGCAAAGACAAAAAGGUUAUGGGGUGCGCAAACGCAACGAUCUUUGCAGAAUUCUGAAAUCGGUGGUGAGUGUGAAAGAAUGCCUGAACUGAUCAUUCGCUAUUUGUUAAGUUUCGUUUUACAUUAGUUACUAGAUCAUUUGGUAAAUGAGAUUACAUGCGUUUAGGUAAACAUGGAAUCGGUGGUUCUUUCAUGAUGAAUAUUGUAAUUACAUUUAUUCAAAAGUGUUCAAAAUGUUUUUACAUACUCUAUCUAUUUAUAGGCUGAUGUUGAAG
rnacentral:lncRNA from 1 species